rnacentral:tRNA from 1 species
UCCAGGGUAGCCUAGUGGACAUGGCAUCUGCCCGGUAAACGGAAGGUUGUGGGUUCGAUUCCCGCCCCUGGAC